GAUGAACGCUAGCUACAGGCUUAACACAUGCAAGUCGCGGGGCAGCAUGGGGGUUGCUUGCAAUCCCCGAUGGCGACCGGCGCACGGGUGAGUAACGCGUAUCCAACCUGCCCUUCACCACGGGAUAACCCGGCGAAAGUCGGACUAAUACCGUAUUUUGUCCAUUGACGGCAUCCGAUUUGGACGAAAGGCUUGGCGGUGAGGGAUGGGGAUGCGUCCGAUUAGCCAGACGGCGGGGUAACGGCCCACCGUGGCUACGAUCGGUAGGGGUUCUGAGAGGAAGGUCCCCCACACUGGAACUGAGACACGGUCCAGACUCCUACGGGAGGCAGCAGUGAGGAAUAUUGGUCAAUGGGCGUAAGCCUGAACCAGCCAAGUAGCGUGCAGGAUGACGGCCCUAUGGGUUGUAAACUGCUUUUAUGCGGGGAUAAAGUGGCCCACGUGUGGGCUUUUGCAGGUACCGCAUGAAUAAGGACCGGCUAAUUCCGUG
rnacentral:rRNA from 1 species